UACAGAGGUCUCGAGCGUUAGGCGGAAUCACUGGGCUUAAAGCGUGUGUAGGCGGAUUGCUAAGUACCUUGUGAAAUCCCACGGCUUAACCGUGGAACUGCUUGGUAUACUGGCUGUCUUGAGCCACUUAGGGGCAACCGGAACAAACGGUGGAGCGGUGAAAUGCGUAGAUACCGUUUGGAACGCCAAUGGUGAAAACAGGUUGCUGGGAGUGUGCUGACGCUGAGACACGAAAGCCAGGGGAGCAAACGGG
rnacentral:rRNA from 1 species